ACAUAUCUGAUAUUAGUCUCUAUGUAUUCAUCAGAUUAACCUUUACUUAUAGAAGAUAUUGGGCAUCUUCCUCAAAGAGUACUUCUAGUUAUAUUCAAAUACGAUUAAUUCUUGACAGUAAUUAACUUAUAUAUUGUAUUUUUAUCUAUUAUUAUGGUUGUUUGACCAGGUUCCAUUUUAAAAAAAGGUUUACAAAGACAAGUAUUGAAACAAUUUAAAAAAUAUAUAUAAUUAUACCUACUUAAACUUGUAAAGUACCAGUAAUUAACUUAUAUAUUGUAUUUUUGUAAAUUUGUAUGGUUGUUUCGCCAGAAACCAUUUUAUAAAGAUGAUUUAUAAAGAGAAGUAUUGAAACACUUCUGAAAAAUUGUUUAUUGUAUCUACUAAAGACUUGUAAAGUACCAUUUGAAGCAUUGAAUCUGUUCUUGACUCUCUUCUAAAGUUGAUUUGAGAUUCCUAACAUCUGAUAUUAGUCUCUAUGUAUUCAUCAGAUUAACCUUUACUUAUAGAAGAUAUUGGGCUUCUUCCUCAAAGAGUACUUCUAGUUAUAUUCAAAUACGAUUAAUUCUUGACAGUAAUUAACUUAUAUAUUGUAUUUUUAUCUAUUAUUAUGGUUGUUUGACCAGGUUCCAUUUUAAAAAAAGGUUUACAAAGACAAGUAUUGAAACAAUUUAAAAAAUAUAUAUAAUUAUACCUACUUAAACUUGUAAAGUACCAGUAAUUAACUUAUAUAUUGUAUUUUUGUAAAUUUGUAUGGUUGUUUCGCCAGAAACCAUUUUAUAAAGAUGAUUUAUAAAGAGAAGUAUUGAAACACUUCUGAAAAAUUGUUUAUUGUAUCUACUAAAGACUUGUAAAGUACCAUUUGAAGCAUUGAAUCUGUUCUUGACUCUCUUCUAAAGUUGAUUUGAGAUUCCUAACAUCUGAUAUUAGUCUCUAUGUAUUCAUCAGAUUAACCUUUACUUAUAGAAGAUAUUGGGCUUCUUCCUCAAAGAGUACUUCUAGUUAUAUUCAAAUACGAUUAAUUCUUGACAGUAAUUAACUUAUAUAUUGUA